GCUGGGCUGUGUUCGCUCUAAUUAGCUGAAAGAGCAGUAGAGUCCUGUACGAGCCCACCUCUUACAACUGGGAACCAGCUGAUCACCGCUUAAGUCUUUGAUUUUUUCCCCUUCACCUUCAUCUUCUGCACUGAUGGUGAAUACUGAUGAGGCAGUUCAUCUACAGACAAUCAUUUUCAGCAACAGACAAGAAACACUGAAACCAGCAAAUCUCAAGCCUAGAACAAAUCUUUUUUUAUAGUUUUUGGAGUUAUCAAUAACACCAUGUUGAAGAACAACGCAGAGAGAAAGAUCAGAGUGGUGUGUCAGUGACGGAUGGAUUUCUUUAGUGGUCCAGAUCAUCAUUCGACAUAAAUCAGUCAAGUGCUAAUGCAGCCCAUGGAGCUAUACCAAUUUUCUACAAUUUAGGAUGUUGUCCAGAUAUACAAGUGAAAUGUUUUGCUUCCAAACAUGGCUGACUAGUUUAAGGUUCCCAUUUCUGUUUGGACACCUACUAUAAUUCAGAUACCUAAAAUCCCAUUGUAAAUAUCAAGAGAAUUAACUGAAUUGCCCUAAUCCUUUCUUUGUG